rnacentral:sRNA from 1 species
UAUUAUAUGAAAUAAAUGCUUUAUUAUAGGGAAAAAACCCAAAACAAACCUCAACUUGUUAUGAAUAAAGAUGGAUGCUCAUUAUAACGCCCAUCAUCUAAACUCAUCAUCUAGAUGUUUCUAAGGUUUUACCCUUUCCUUGUAAUCCUAUAUAAAGAACCCUUUACCUCAAUGGAAUAACACACUCAUUUUCUUCUAUCUCUUUCUCUGUUUAUAACACGUUAUCAGGACGCUCUAAAAGGUAGAUAUAGAGAUUCUUACAUUUUUUUAAGAACCAUGUUUACUUAUCGACUCAUGGUUCAUAGUAUUUAUUUUCUAUUAUUGAAACAAAACAAUAUGAGCCGAUCGAUGAUUAUAGUAUAGAUCGGUAAAAGCAUGUUUUCAAUGAUUCAAUAAAGAAGAGAAUCAUGCUUAUCAUUUGUUUCUAUAAUUACUAUCGCAUGAUUCAAUGAUUCUACAAAGAAAAUCGUUAAAGAAGAUAAUCAUGCUUAUUAAUUGUUAAUUUUUGUGA